rnacentral:rRNA from 1 species
GACGAACGCUGGCGGCGUGCUUAACACAUGCAAGUCGAACGGAGUGGCGAACGGGUGAGUAACACGUGGGUGACCUGCCCUGCACUUCGGGAUAAGCCUGGGAAACUGGGUCUAAUACCGGAUAGUGUGGGAUGGGCCCGCGGCCUAUCAGCUUGUUGGUUGGGUAAUGGCCUACCACGGCGGCGACGGGUAGCCGGCCUGAGAGGGUGGACGUGCACAUAGGGACUGAGACACGGCCCAGACGGCGACGGGAGGCAGCAGUGGGGAAUAGUGCACAAUGGGCGGAAGCGUGAUGCAGCGACGCCGCGUGGGGGAGGACGGACUUCGGGUUGUAAUCUCCUUACACCAUCGACGCGGUAGAUGGAGAAGAAGCACCGGCUAACGCCGUGCCAGCAGCCGCGGUAAUUC